rnacentral:rRNA from 1 species
UCAAUGCGUAUAUUGAGUUGUUGCGGUUAUAAGCUCGUCGUUGGAUUUCUGUUGAGGUCGAACAGUGCCGCCCUAUGGGUGCGCAACUGGCUCGGCUUCGGCAUCUUCUUGGAGAGCGUAUCUGCACUUAACUGUGUGGAUCGUACUUCAAGUCAGUUACUCUGAGGAAUUGUGAGUGUUUCAAGCAGGCUUACGCCGUUGAAUCCGUUAGCAUGGAAUAAUAGAAUAGGACCUCGGUUCUAUUUUGUUGGUUUUGAGAGCUGGGGCAGCGAUUGAUAGGGACGGAUGGGGGCGUCCGAACUUUACUGACAGAGGUGAAAUUCUUAGAUCGGUCAAAGGCGAACUACUGCGAACGCAUUCGCCAAGAAUGUUUUCUUUAAUCAAGAACGAAAGUUAGGGGAUCGAAGACGAUCAGAUACCGUCCUAGUCUUAACCAUAAACGUUACUGACUAGAGAUUGGAGGUUGUGAUUCACAAACUCCAUCAGCACCUCUAUGUGUAAACAAAGUCUUUGAGUUCUGGGGGGAGUAUGGUCGCAAGACUGAAACUUAAAGGAAUUGACGGAAGGGCACCACCAGGAGUGGAACCUGCGGCUUAAUUUGACUCAACACGGGGAAACUUACCAGAUCAAGACAUAGUAAGGAUUGACAGAUUGAGAGUUCUCUCUCGAUUCUAUGGGUGGUGGUGCAUGGCCGUUC